rnacentral:sRNA from 1 species
GGAAGGAUCAUUAUUGAAAUAAACCUGAUGGGUUGUUGCUGGUUCUCUAGGGAGCAUGUGCACACCUUGUCAUCUUUAUAUCUCCACCUGUGCACCUUUUGUAGACCUUUUAGGUCUAUGUUGGCCCCAAUUACCCCAAUGUAUGUUAAUAGAAUGUUGUGACUAUAUAAUAUAUACAACUUUCAGCAACGGAUCUCUUGGCUCUCGCAUCGAUGAAGAACGCAGCGAAAUGCGAUAAGUAAUGUGAAUUGCAGAAUUCAGUGAAUCAUCGAAUCUUUGAACGCACCUUGCGCUCCUUGGUAUUCCGAGGAGCAUGCCUGUUUGAGUGUCAUUAAUAUAUAUAUCAACCUUCUCUUGAUGAAUGGUUUGGAUGUGGGGGUUUGCUGGCCUCUUGAAGGGUUCAGCUCUCCUGAAAUGCAUUAGCAGAACACAAACCUUGUUCAUUGGCGUGAUAACUAUCUACGCUAUUGAAUGCUAGAGGCAGUUCAGCUUUCUAACAGUCCUCGGACAACUCAUCAUUAAUGUGACCUCAAAUCAGGUAGGACUACCCGCUGAACUUAAGCAUAUCAAUAAGCGGAGGAAAAGAAACUAACAAGGAUUCCCCUAGUAACUGCGAGUGAAGCGGGAAAAGCUCAAAUUUAAAAUCUGGCGGUCUUUUGGCUGUCCGAGUUGUAAUCUAGAGAAGUGUUAUCCGCGCUGGACCAUGUACAAGUCUCCUGGAAUGGAGCAUCAUAGAGGGUGAGAAUCCCGUCUUUGACAUGGACUGCCAGGGCUUUGUGAUGCGCUCUCAAAGAGUCGAGUUGUUUGGGAAUGCAGCUCAAAAUGGGUGGUAAAUUCCAUCUAAAGCUAAAUAUUGGCGAGAGACCGAUAGCGAACAAGUACCGUGAG